UACGUAGGGGGCAAGCGUUGUCCGGAAUCAUUGGGCGUAAAGAGCGCGUAGGCGGCCCUGUAAGUCCGCUGUGAAAGUCAAGGGCUCAACCCUUGAAUGCCGGUGGAUACUGCAGGGCUAGAGUCCGGAAGAGGCGAGUGGAAUUCCUGGUGUAGCGGUGAAAUGCGCAGAUAUCAGGAGGAACACCGAUGGCGAAGGCAGCUCGCUGGGACGGUACUGACGCUGAGGCGCGAAGGUCAGGGGAGCAAACGGG
rnacentral:rRNA from 1 species